UAGAGGAAGGGAGAAGUCGUAACAAGGUUUCCGUAGGUGAACCUGCGGAAGGAUCAUUGUCGUGACCCUGACCAAAACAGACCGCGCACGCGUCAUCCUGCCCGCCGGGCGGCGGCACCGUCUGUCGCCCAGCCAAAGUCCUCGAAARCCUCCUCUCUUCGGAGGGGCGGCUCGGGGUAAAAGAACCCACGGCGCCGAAGGCGUCAAGGAACACUGUGCCUAACCCGGGGACGCGGCUGGCUUGCUGGCCGCACCUUGGGUUGCAAUGCUAUAUAAUCCACACGACUCUCGGCAACGGAUAUCUCGGCUCUCGCAUCGAUGAAGAACGUAGCGAAAUGCGAUACCUGGUGUGAAUUGCAGAAUCCCGCGAACCAUCGAGUCUUUGAACGCAAGUUGCGCCCGAGGCCUUCUGGCCGAGGGCACGCCUGCCUGGGCGUCACGCCAAACACGCUCCCACCCCACUAAACAUGGGGCGGGAUGCGGCAUGUGGCUCUCCAUCUCGCAAGGGGCGGUGGGCCGAAGAUCCGGCUGCCGGCGUAUCGUKCCGGACACAGCGCGUGGUAGGCGAUCUCGCUAUACUAAACGCAGUGCAUCCGGGACGUAGCCGACGCAAUGCCCUCAAUGGACCCUAUUAACGGAGCGCACGACGUUUCGACCGCGACCCCAGGUCAGGCGGGACUACCCGCUGAAUUUAAGCAUAUCAAUAAGCGGAGGA
rnacentral:rRNA from 1 species